UACGUAGGGGGGCAAGCGUUGUCCGGAUUUAUUGGGCGUAAAGGGCUCGUAGGCGGUUUGUCGCGUCGGGAGUGAAAAACAUCUGGCUUAACUGGGUGCUUGCUUUCGAUACGGGCAGACUGGAGGUAUGCAGGGGGAGAACGGAAUUCCUGGUGUAGCGGUGAAAAUGCGCAGAUAUCAGGAGGAACACCGGUGGCGAAGGCGGUUCUCUGGGCAUGACCUGACGCUGAGGAGCGAAAGUGUGGGGGAGCGAACAGG
rnacentral:rRNA from 1 species